rnacentral:rRNA from 1 species
UACGUAGGGGGCAAGCGUUGUCCGGAAUCAUUGGGCGUAAAGAGCUCGUAGGCGGUCUGUCGCGUCUGCUGUGAAAACUCAGGGCUUAACCCUGAGCUUGCAGUGGGUACGGGCAGACUAGAGUGUUGCAGGGGAGACUGGAAUUCCUGGUGUAGCGGUGAAAGUGCGCAGAUAUCAGGAGGAACACCGAUGGCGAAGGCAGCUCGCUGGGACGUGACUGACGCUGGAGACGCGAAAGCGUGGGGAGCGAACAGG